rnacentral:rRNA from 1 species
UACAGAGGGUGCAAGCGUUAAUCGGAGUUACUGGGCGUAAAGGGCGCGUAGGCGGUCAUGCAAGUGAGAUGUGAAAUCCCCGGGCUUAACCUGGGAACUGCAUUUUAGACUGUGUGACUGGAGUACUGUAGAGGACAGUGGAAUUUCCGGUGUAGCGGUGAAAUGCGUAGAGAUCGGAAGGAACACCAGUGGCGAAGGCGACUGUCUGGCCAGAUACUGACGCUGAGGCGCGAAAGCGUGGGAGCAAACAGG